rnacentral:rRNA from 1 species
CGAUAACGAACGAGACCUUAACCUGCUAAAUAGCCCGGCCCGCUUUGGCGGGUCGCCGGCUUCUUAGAGGGACAUUCGGCUCAAGCCGACGGAAGUCUGAGGCAAUAACAGGUCCGUAAUGCCCUUAGAUGUUCUGGGCCGCACGCGCGCUACACUGAUGGAGCCAACGAGUUUCUUUCCUUGCCCGAAAGGGUUGGGUAAUCUUGUUAAACUCCAUCGUGCUGGGGAUCGAGCAUUGCAAUUAUUGCUCGUCAACGAGGAAUGCCUAGUAAGCGCUUAUCAUCAGUAAGCGUUGAUUACGUCCCUGCCCUUUGUACACACCGCCCGUCGCUACUACCGAUUGAAUGGCU